UGGGGAAUAUUGCACAAUGGGCGCAAGCCUGAUGCAGCCAUGCCGCGUGUAUGAAGAAGGCCUUCGGGUUGUAAAGUACUUUCAGCGGGGAGGAAGGCGAUAAGGUUAAUAACCUUGUCGAUUGACGUUACCCGCAGAAGAAGCACCGGCUAACUCCGUGCCAGCAGCCGCGGUAAUACGGAGGGUGCAAGCGUUAAUCGGAAUUACUGGGCGUAAAGCGCACGCAGGCGGUUUGUCAAGUCGGAUGUGAAAUCCCCGGGCUCAACCUGGGAACUGCAUUCGAAACUGGCAGGCUAGAGUCUUGUAGAGGGGGGUAGAAUUCCAGGUGUAGCGGUGAAAUGCGUAGAGAUCUGGAGGAAUACCGGUGGCGAAGGCGGCCCACUGGACAAAGACUGACGCUCAGGUGCGAAAGCGUGGGGAGCAAACA
rnacentral:rRNA from 1 species